CAAAGGGCACAGGAUGCAUUAUGAGAAAGGAAGGCUAAGGUUUUCAAGAACACAGAUUUACAUCAAACUUGCGUUCUGAAUUAAUCUUUGAGAAUACUGGACUGUGAGCUAGACAUUGAGUAAGAGGUUUGUUAUAUCAAGAAUGUGAUCUAAAAAAAACAUUCAUCUCUUCCUCCCACAAGAGGAUAUUUUGAAACUGUGGGUCAAAGUCAGACUACAGGAGAGCCCUCAAAUAUGCCAAAUGUGACAGACAGCAGGAUUUUGAAAAUAUAGUGGGAGUAUGUGAAGAUGUUCCAGUCAAAGAGACAUUGUUUCCAAAGGAAAGAAAGUCCAGUCGCC
rnacentral:lncRNA from 1 species